rnacentral:rRNA from 1 species
GAGUUUGAUCCUGGCUCAGGACGAACGCUGGCGGCGUGCCUAACACAUGCAAGUCGAGCGAGGAGAUUCCCUUCGGGGAUGAACCUAGCGGCGGACGGGUGAGUAACACGUGGGCAACCUGCCUUAUAGAGGGGAAUAGCCUUCCGAAAGGAAGAUUAAUACCGCAUAACAUUACAUUUUCGCAUGAAGAAGUAAUUAAAGGAGUAAUCCGCUAUAAGAUGGGCCCGCGGCGCAUUAGCUAGUUGGUGAGGUAACGGCUCACCAAGGCGACGAUGCGUAGCCGACCUGAGAGGGUGAUCGGCCACAUUGGGACUGAGACACGGCCCAGACUCCUACGGGAGGCAGCAGUGGGGAAUAUUGCACAAUGGGGGAAACCCUGAUGCAGCAACGCCGCGUGAGUGAUGAAGGUCUUCGGAUCGUAAAGCUCUGUCUUCAGGGACGAUAAUGACGGUACCUGAGGAGGAAGCCACGGCUAACUACGUGCCAGCAGCCGCGGUAAUAC